GAUGAACGCUGGCGGCGUGCCUAAUACAUGCAAGUCGAGCGAACAGAUGAGGAGCUUGCUCCUCUGACGUUAGCGGCGGACGGGUGAGUAACACGUGGAUAACCUACCUAUAAGACUGGGAUAACUUCGGGAAACCGGAGCUAAUACCGGAUAAUAUAUUGAACCGCAUGGUUCAAUAGUGAAAGACGGUUUUGCUGUUACUUAUAGAUGGAUCCGCGCCGCAUUAGCUAGUUGGUAAGGUAACGGCUUACCAAGGCAACGAUGCGUAGCCGACCUGAGAGGGUGAUCGGCCACACUGGAACUGAGACACGGUCCAGACUCCUACGGGAGGCAGCAGUAGGGAAUCUUCCGCAAUGGGCGAAAGCUUGACGGAGCAACGCCGCGUGAGUGAUGAAGGUCUUCGGAUCGUAAAACUCUGUUAUUAGGGAAGAACAAAUGUGUAAGUAACUAUGCACGUCUUGACGGUACCUAAUCAGAAAGCCACGGCUAACUACGUG
rnacentral:rRNA from 1 species